GUUUAAAAUUGAAUAGUACCAAGUGUUUGAUACUAUUAAUAAUAUUCCAGAUGAACUCUUAAUAAUAAUAAUAAUAAUAAUAAAGUCAAGUAUAAGAGAUAUUUGACGAAAUGAAUGCGCCCGGAUUAAACUAAAAUACAAAAAAAGAAAUAUUUUUUUAAAAAAUAUAUUAAAAUAAUUAUGAACAAAUAAAGAUGUAAUGCUACAUGUACACCUGUAGAUGUAAAGUUGACACAGCUAGGCCUCCUUUGUGGUCCAUUUUACUUGUUUUGUUAGGCUGCGUUUGGUUGGGUAUAAGUAAGAACUACUAGUUCUAGGAAUAGGUAUAAGAUUAGGUAUAAGUAGGAACUAGAUCAAUUUUACGUUUGGAUGAAAAGUAGGUUGUUAUAGAAAUAAGGUAAAUAGUGUUUGGAUGGUUAGAUUGGAACAAGAGGAAUAAGAGUUAUAAUUUGAAAUUAAAAUUAUAUUAUGUAAUUAAUUAACAUAAAAAUAUUACUUAAAAAUAAAUAA
rnacentral:lncRNA from 1 species